AAAGACUUGACGGUACUUCACAACAACCUAGAGGAGCCUGUCCAAUAACCGAUACCCCACGAUUAACCCCACCUGCCCUAGCCAUAACAGUCUAUAUACCGCCGUCGCCAGCUUACCUUAUGAAAGAAACAAAGUGAGCUCAACAACAACACAUUAACACGACAGGUCGAGRUGUAACUAAUGAGCAGGCCAAAGAUGGGCUACAUUUUCCUAGACAGAAAAUACGAAUCAACUAUGAAAUUAGAAACUGAAGGUGGAUUUAGCAGUAAGCUAACAAUAAAAUACUUAGCUAAAAAUAUAGCAAUGAAGUGCGUACACACCGCCCGUCAUCCCUG
rnacentral:rRNA from 1 species